rnacentral:rRNA from 1 species
AUUGAACGCUGGCGGCAGGCCUAACACAUGCAAGUCGAACGAGUGGCGGACGGGUGAGUAAUGUCUGGGAAACUGCCUGAUGGAGGGGGAUCAACACUGGAAACGGUAGCUAAUACCGCAUACCCUCAGAUGUGCCCAGCUGGGAUUAGCUAGUUGGUGGGGUAACGGCUCACCAAGGCGACGAUCCAUAGCUGGUCUUAGAGGAUGACCAGCCACACUGGAACUGAGACACGGUCCAGACUCCUACGGGAGGCAGCAGUGGGGAAUAUUGCACGAUGGGCGCAAGCCUGAUGCAGCCAUGCCGCGUGUAUGAAGAAGGCCUUCGGGUUGUAAAGUACUUUCAGCGGGGAGGCGUUACCCGCAGAAGAAGCACCGGCUAACUCCGUGCCAGCAGCCGCGGUAAUUC